GGGAGGGAAGCAGGGCUGGCAGCAAGAAGGGAAGACGCUGCUCCUGCGGACAUCAGCGGAGUGGAUGCUCUCUUCCACAUCGGGGUGUUUUUCCCAGCCUUGCAAAGCACGGUCAGUGCUGACAGGCUAUGCUCUCCGGCUGGAUGCAGGAGGGAAAGAUGGUUGCUCUGCAAUUCGCAUGAGUUGGCCCUUCCUGCAGAGCUCCUGGGACUGGAAACGGCAAAGACCUUUAAGAUAACCAAGUCCAACCGUUACCCCAGGAUCGCCAAGACCACCACUAAACCAUACCACUGAGGGCAUAUAAGACCCAAAGCCUAAAAGAAUGCAUCAACCUGAAUGUUUUCUCUGCUCCACGUAUGUGGUGUCUUGUUGGCCAGCAACUUUAAAUCUUGGAUUGCAAGUCUCUUCACAGCCUUCCUGGGGUCAUUCUUCAAGUACUGCAACAAAAGCUGGAUCUGCAACAAAGUAAAUUCACUGUUUGAGAGAGAUGCUACUAGAGGGAAGGUCUUUUUAAAGGUACGUGUGAUGGAAUUUUGAGCAUACACAGCCAAAACUAACUCACCAUAUCUGCCCGAUGGCUCACCACAUGGAAAAGCCACUGCUUAGGCUGCAAUGCCACAGCAAGCUAAGACAGUCUGACAGCUGAUUUCUACCAUGCUGCUCUGCUUGUUCAAACAUCCUUCUCUAUCUUCUCUCACCCUGCACACCUGAGAAGCCUCGAAAGCUGUUUUGACACUCUCAGAGCUACCAUAAAGUAUCUCCAAGAAGUUCAGUAAAACCCUUAUACUGUUGUGAUUAUACUACUAGCAACUACUGAAGCUUAUCUGGGUGGCUGCAUGAUCUGCAGUUAACAGACAUCAACACAGACACCUUCUAUGUGGUUGCCAAACCCUAACCCAAACACCCCAAACCCCUACCCACCCCCUCUGAAGCCUUGAUCUCUUAUUAAAUGACACUUAACUGCA